UUUCUGUAGGUGAACCUGCGGAAGGAUCAUUAUAGUAUAACCGAGGUGCGAGGGCUGUCGCUGACCCGAAAGGUCGUGCACGCUCGAGUGCCCUCACACACAUCCAUCUCACCCCUAUGUGCACCACCGCGUGGGUCCCCCUUUGGCUUGUUCGGAGGGGGGCUUACGUUUUCACACAAACUUUGUAUGCAGUGUAGAAUGUAUUUUUUGUUUUUGCGAUCACGCAAUCAAUACAACUUUCAACAACGGAUCUCUUGGCUCUC
rnacentral:misc_RNA from 1 species